rnacentral:rRNA from 1 species
GACAGAGGUGGCAAGCGUUGUUCGGAUUCAUUGGGUGUAAAGGGUCCGUAGGUGGUCAAGCAAGUCUGAUGUGAAAUCCCAUGGCUCAACCGUGGAACUGCAUUGGAAACUGCAUGACUUGAGUAUCGCAGAGGUGAAGGGAAUUCCCGGUGUAAGGGUGAAAUCUGUAGAUAUCGGGAGGAACACCAGUGGCGAAGGCGCUUCACUGGGCGAUUACUGACACUGAGGGACGAAAGCAAGGGGAGCAAACAGG